UACGAGGGGAGCUAGCGUUGUUCGGAAUUACUGGGCGUAAAGGGCGCGUAGGCGGUACCAUAAGUCAGAUGUGAAAGCCCUGGGCUUAACCUAGGAUGUGCAUUUGAUACUGUGGAACUAGAGAUCGAGAGAGGAAAGUGGAAUUACGAGUGUAGAGGUGAAAUUCGUAGAUAUUCGUAAGAACACCAGUGGCGAAGGCGACUUUCUGGCUCGAUACUGACGCUAAGGCGCGAAAGCGUGGGGAGCAAACAG
rnacentral:rRNA from 1 species